UGUGAGUCACUCUUUAACAGGGUCUAUGAUAGUUCUAUAAAUUGACUCACUUCUGACUGGUCUCUCUGUGCUGGAAUCAAUUUUCCCGCCAAUUUUAACCAAGUGUUUGUCAUUUGAAUUGCCCUUGCCUCUCUUCAGCAGCAGGCUCCUUGAGUCGCUGAGUAUGAAGGUCAUUCUUGCUUAGGCAGUGGAUCUGUCCAGGUGUUCUUACAUCCAUCUCUCCUCUGUCACUGACUGGGUAGCGAUAGUCAUGCUGUCCCUGAAAGGUCGUGUCAGUGGUUGACAAACUUUGGAUUUUAUCGUAGAUUCUCUGCAUGGUCUUUCUGCAGGGUCCACAAGGGCGUAGGUGGGAGCCUUGAUGGACACUGUGCAGCUCAUAACUGUCCACCCCCAGCUUCUGCUGUUUAGUAGUGCAGUCUCACAGUGUAACCCUCAUUCUGAAUUAAUCAAAUUAGCUCUAUAGGCUAACAUUAAUUUAAAAUACAAAAUAAUUUAAAUAAUUAAAGAAAUAAUAAAAACCAUAAAAACAUAAAACAAAUCAUAAAUCUUUAGUCUAAUAAAAUAAUUAAAAAAUAAAAAUAGUCAUUUAUUAAUAAUGAUAAUAAUAAUUUAAAAUACUAAAUAGGAACCUAAAAUAGACAAAUAAAUAGAAAAAAAUAGACAAAAAAAUAAAUAGUUCAGGGUGAGGGUUAUAGUGUGUGACUGGACUACCAGAGGAUGGGGUGGACACAGUUACGGGCUACACAGUGUCCAUCAUAGCCUCCACCUACAUCCUAUUGGACUCUGCAGAAUGGCCAAGCUGAGGACCUACGGCAAAAUCCAAUGUGCGGCAGCCACCAACAUCAACCUUCACAGAUGGCAUAACCGUCACUACACAGUCAGUGAUAUAGGGGAGAUGGAUGCUUGAGGGCCUGGACAGAUCUAUUACCUGAACAAGGGUGAUCCUCAAGCCUAGCAGUCUGAGGAUGCUGGUACUGAACAAAGGUAACAGCAAGGUGCAUGAUGACAUUUGGCUUGAAGUUGUUGGAGAGUGGAUUCCUUCUCAAACAGAGGAGCCAGUCGGGGAAGUGGUUUAGCAGCUCACUCUGUGGCAGUGUGUGUGAGAGGGUAACACACCGCACGCAUGUCUGGGUUAUAGUGGGUGGAGAAGGGUGUUGCGUAACCCAAGGCCUAGUACUCUCAGCACAUGGUCCUGUCCAAGCUCCUCUAACCCCUUUCCAGUGUAUGAACUCCCAGCAUCAGCACUAGGACCAGAGGACAGGAACGUCGGGGUCUGACCUCUUCAGGUAGUUCAGAGCUUUCCAAAGCCUCGGUAGAAUUGCCUUUUACAGCAGUGGAAAAAAAUGGCUGCUACCAUUCAGAGCUGAGAUUGAGGACUCGUUUUGCAAGGAUGACAAUGUGAGGCCAGCAUCAAUCAAAGUUCAUUUUGUGGCUUACUGUCAUUUGCUGCAGACGAAGAAAAGAAGAUUGCGGAGAUGUCCUACGAAGUAGGGGGUGGUGGUGGGCAAGAAAAACCAUAACAUGCUGACCAGUGGAUGUAUUGCCAGGAUCUUUGGUAGGAGAGUCACUGUCCUCGCAUACGUGCCAGGAUCAUUGGUAGGAGAGUCACUGUCCUCGCAUACGUGCCAGGACCUUUGGUAGGAGAGUCACUGUCAUUGCAUAAGUACCAGGACACAGCUGCACAGGAUGAAGCAAGAGCCACACAUUGUCCUUGGCUGAAGUGAGUAGAGGAGAAGAUCAGGUACUUGGCUCAGGCCAGAAGAAUAAUAACAAAGGUGUCCUCCGAUGAGGGGGGGUGGUGGUGGGCAAGAAAAACUAUACCAUGCUGAACAGUGGACGUACUGCCAGGAUCUUUGGUAGGAGAGUCACUGUCCUCGCAUACGUGCCAGGAUCAUUGGUAGGAGAGUCACUGUCCUCGCAUACGUGCAAGGAUCUUUGGUAGGAGAGUCACUGUCCUCGCAUACGUGCCAGGAUCAUACGUGCCAGCAGAAGGAGCAACAACAGCAGCUGCCACACAGAGAAGACAACUGUGGAGUGCGAGCCUGUUAAAGCAAGAUGGCUCCUCCUGCUCGGUAACUGUAACUGCUAAGUGAUGUCAGCAGCGGUCAAAGUUCACCGGGGCUCAAGAUGUCCGCCAGAAGCGAUGGGAGGGCACCGGGAGCAGCCACACAGCCCAGGCCGGGCCGGAUCAACCCCGACCUGUGCGUCCUUUCCGACGCUGCCGCUGAUUGGACCAGACGUUCACCUGAGGAUAGAGCCAGGAGCACCAGGAGCCGCUGAAUAAAAAUAAAUUAUCGAGAGCACACGGAGAGGAGCAUUAUUUAAGCACCAGUCUUUAUCUUUCCACGAGAAGUUAUGGAUACACGGCUGAGUAUUAAAUGGAGUGAUGACAACAUUGUCUGGAUAGGCAAUGAAAAAGCAGGAGGGAUUAUUUGGCUGCUGAGGGAGAAUGCAAACCAACAGAAUGAAGCCCCCCCCCCCUUCCCAAGUCUUGGAGGCAUCGGUCCCUGGAGGAAACGGCCCUGUGCUGAUUACCUGAAGCAGAUCGUCUCCUCCAUUGUCCUGUGGGCGCUCCUGGGUGAUGAAGGUCAUCAGCUCCUACACGCACUGUUGCCUGGCUGACGAAGAGGAGCAGCCUCCUCCGUCGGCUCCCGCAAGGACACCUCCAGGGUCGGGGUCAGGAUCAGAGAAGACGGGAGAGGACAGUCACAGCGUCGGCACAGCCAGGGCGGGACUGUUGAUGCUGGGGUUUUGUUCACCGGAAAGGGCGGGGGGAGCUUGGGGAGGACCAUGUGCUGACAGGUUCUUAAUCAGGUCCUAUGAUAAUGUUAUGAAUCGGGUCAUAAAGUGAGUGAGUCACUCAUUUAAUCAGACCCUGUGAUAGUGUUAAGUGAGUGAGUGACUUUUUAACAGGCUCUGCAAUAGUGUUAUGAAUCGAGUCACUCUUUAACUGACCCCGUGAUAGUGUUAUAAAGUGAGUGAGUCACUCUUUAACAGGCUCUGUGAUAGUGCUAUAAAGUGAGUGACUCUUUAACAGAGCCUUUAAUCGUAAUAUAAAGUGAGUCACUCUUGAACAGGCCUUUUGAUAUUGUUAUAAAGUGAGUGAGUCAUUAUUUAACGGGCCCUUUGAUAGCGCUAUAAAGUGAGUGAGUCAUUCUUUAACAGGGCCUGUGAUAUUGUUAUAAAGUGAGUCACUCUUUAACAGAGCCUUUAAUCGUAAUAUAAAGUGAGUCACUCUUGAACAGGCCCUUUGAUAUUGUUAUAAAGUGAGUGAGUCAUUCUUUGACAGGGUCUGUGAUAGUGCUAUGAAGUGAGUCACUCUUUAAUGGGUUCUAUGAUAGUUCUAUGAAGUGACUCACUUCUGACUGGUCUCUCUGUUUGUGCUGGAAUCCAUUUUCCCGC